GUGCUCACUUCAGCAGCACAUAAACUAGAACCGGAACAAGACAGAAGAGAUUAGCAUGGCCCCUAUGCAAAGAUGACACGUGAAUUCAUUAAGUGUUCCACCUUUUU